rnacentral:rRNA from 1 species
CCUACGGGAGGCAGCAGUGGGGAAUUUUGGACAAUGGGCGCAAGCCUGAUCCAGCCAUGCCGCGUGCGGGAAGAAGGCCUUCGGGUUGUAAACCGCUUUUGUCAGGGAAGAAAAGGUUCUGGUUAAUACCUGGGACUCAUGACGGUACCUGAAGAAUAGGCACCGGCUAACUACGUGCCAGCAGCCGCGGUAAUACGUAGGGUGCAAGCGUUAAUCGGAAUUACUGGGCGUAAAGCGUGCGCAGGCGGUUAUGCAAGACAGAUGUGAAAUCCCCGGGCUCAACCUGGGAACUGCAUUUGUGACUGCAUAGCUAGAGUACGGUAGAGGGGGAGUGGAAUUCCGCGUGUAGCAGUGAAAUGCGUAGAUAUGCGGAGGAACACCGAUGGCGAAGGCAAUCCCCUGGACCUGUACUGACGCUCAUGCACGAAAGCGUGGGGAGCAAACAGGAUUAGAUACCCUGGUAGUCCACGCCCUAAACGAUGUCAACUGGUUGUUGGGAGGGUUUCUUCUCAGUAACGAAGCUAACGCGUGAAGUUGACCGCCUGGGGGAGGACGGCCGGCGAAGGUUAGUUAAAGUUAAAGUUAGUUAAGUUAGACGCGUUGAGACGUUGCCGAACGGACGACGACGAGGGGAGGAGG